AAGGCUUUCCCACACUCAUUACAGUGAUGUCUUUUGGAACGACCAUGGACUCUCUGAUGGUGGGUGAGGAGGAGGGCCCGA
ensembl:miRNA Mir1896 microRNA 1896